GAACGCGAAGAACCUUACCAAGUCUUGACAUCCUUUGACCACUCUAGAGAUAGAGCUUUCCCUUCGGGGACAAAGUGACAGGUGGUGCAUGGUUGUCGUCAGCUCGUGUCGUGAGAUGUUGGGUUAAGUCCCGCAACGAGCGCAACCCUUAUUACUAGUUGCCAGCAUUGAGUUGGGCACUCUAGUGAGACUGCCGGUGACAAACCGGAGAAAGGUGGGGAUGACGUCAAAUCAUCAUGCCCCUUAUGACUUGGGCUACACACGUGCUACAAUGGAUGGUACAACGAGCAGCGAACUCGCGAGGGUAAGCGAAUCUCUUAAAGCCAUUCUCAGUUCGGAUUGUAGGCUGCAACUCGCCUACAUGAAGCCGGAAUCGCUAGUAAUCGCGGAUCAGCACGCCGCGGUGAAUACGUUCCCGGGUCUUGUACACACC
rnacentral:rRNA from 1 species